GAUGAACGCUAGCGGGAGGCCUAAACACAUGCAAGCCGAGCGGUAUUGUUUCUUCGGAAAUGAGAGAGCGGCGUACGGGUGCGGAACACGUGUGCAACCUGCCUUUAUCUGGGGGAUAGCCUUUCGAAAGGAAGAUUAAUACUCCAUAACAUAUUGAACGGCAUCGUUUGAUAUUGAAAGCUCCGGCGGAUAGAGAUGGGCACGCGCAAGAUUAGCUAGUUGGUGAGGUAACGGCUCACCAAGGCGAUGAUCUUUAGGGGGCCUGAGAGGGUGAUCCCCCACACUGGUACUGAGACACGGACCAGACUCCUACGGGAGGCAGCAGUGAGGAAUAUUGGUCAAUGGGGUGCAAGCCUGAACCAGCCAUCCCGCGUGAAGGACGACUGCCCUAUGGGUUGUAAACUUUCUUUUGUAUAGGGGAUAAACCUACCCUCGUGAGGGUAGCUGAAGGUACUAUACGAAUAAGCACCGGCUAACUCCGUGCCCAGCAGCCCGCGGUAAACUGUCUACG
rnacentral:rRNA from 1 species